rnacentral:rRNA from 1 species
GAUGAACGCUGGCGGCGUGCCUAAUACAUGCAAGUCGAGCGAACAGACGCGGAGCUUGCUCCUCUGACGUUAGCGGCGGACGGGUGAGUAACACGUGGAUAAUCUACCUAUCAGACUGGGAUAACUUCGGGAAACCGGCGCUAAUACCGGAUAACAUGUUGCACCGCAUGGUUCAACAGUGAAAGACGGUCUUGCUGUCACUUCUAGAUGGAUCUGCGCCGCAUUAGCUAGUUGGUAAGGUAACGGCUUACCAAGGCAACGAUGCGUAGCCGACCUGAGAGGGUGAUCGGCCACACUGGAACUGAGACACGGUCCAGACUCCUACGGGAGGCAGCAGUAGGGAAUCGUCCGCAAUGGGCGAAAGCCUGACGGAGCAACGCCGCGUGAGUGAAGAAGGUCUUCGGAUCGUAAAACUCUGUUAUUAGGGAAGAACAAAUGUGUAAGUAACUAUGCACGUCUUGACGGUACCUAGUCAGAAAGCCACGGCUAACUACGUG